UUUCGGGUUUUUCAGAGUAAAUGCACUUUUGUCACAGUGAGGGUAUUAAGUCAAUAUAAUGUCUUGUGAUCGACUAAAAAUAUAAAAAAAUUGAAUACGUUCAUUAUUUUAUUUAUAUAAUAAACGCAUCUACCAUGAUAUAAUUAGCGAUGAGGAAUAUUGAGGAAAUGUUCUACCUAUAUGACCGCAUGGGGAUCAAGCAAGGUGCAAACAGUUCAUCCCCAUGAGGUACCAAAAACAACAAAAAAAGUGUACCUAUAUACUAACAACAUUUGUGGAAAAGAAAAAAUCCGUGAAAAUGUAGCUUAUACAGAAAUGACAAGAAAAGGAAAUAUAAUGGUCGUUUGGACAGCAACAAAUAUUGCAGUUCAAUUUUAAGAUGUUUUUCCAUAAAAACUAGCUUAUAUGAGGUGUCAUGAUGAAAAAAAUGCACUGUGCUAGUUGGGAACGUUGGAAAUCAGCGUUAGUUAUUUUUGACAUUAUUGCGAGAGAUCCUAAUUCCCAAGUUUCCGACGUUGACCUAUUAUGUCUGGAAUUCUAUGAGCUGAGCGAAGCGGCCGCUAUCAGUGGACACCUUGAGUGUCUUUAGUACUCACACGCCCGGCAAAAGCAAAGCGGUGUGUCAAUACGCCGUGGCCAACGGUCUGUUGGAUUGUCUAAGACUACAAGACGUGCGAGUUAGCCGCAGCUUUAGGGCACGUCCACCUCCUACAUAAUGCACUCAACAACGAUAAUCUGUGAGGUGUGUAGCCGCAUCUUCCGCUUACCCAUCGUAUUAUUAUUAUUCCACAAGAAGAUUUGUCAAUUAUUUAUUUCAUAUGUCCCCGCCAUCACCUCAUCAUUGUCAAAAAUGUGCCACUUAGAAGACGGUUGUCUGUACGGACCACAGAAUUCCAGUAUUGAAACCUCCAAGACGAAACACUAUCUGAUGACAAACUAAUUUCAGAAACGUUUUUAUUCGUUUUAUUCUUGUAAUGGAGGUAUGAUUAGAAAUUAAAUGUUAAAUAAAAACUAGCACAUUUAAAAACAAUUUUUAUAUUUAAUUAUUGUAAUAAGGUUGCAAAAUAUCCAAGUAAAAUCCAAAUCUACUUUGUUUUCUCAUAGUAUGAUAAAAAGGUGUUCAAUUAAUUUUACAUGCCUGUCAGCUGAAGUCGACGGGCUACUCUUUUGAAUUCUUCCUUGCAUAAA